rnacentral:misc_RNA from 1 species
AUGCAGCCCGACUUGAACGGAGCUCAUUUUUUGUGACUGGAAUUGGGUGACGGCAAAAAAUAGCGAGAGUGGAAGGCGGAUAAAGC